UACGGGGGGGGCAAGCGUUGUUCGGAAUUACUGGGCGUAAAGGGCUUGUAGGUGGCCAACUAAGUCAGACGUGAAAUCCCUCGGCUUAACCGGGGAACUGCGUCUGAUACUGGAUGGCUUGAGUGUGGGAGAGGGAUGCGGAAUUCCAGGUGUAGCGGUGAAAUGCGUAGAUAUCUGGAGGAACACCGGUGGCGCAAGCGACUUGCUGGGCCAUAACUGACACUGAGGAACGAAAGCUAGGGGAGCGAAUGGG
rnacentral:rRNA from 1 species